UGGGUCACCCUGCGCCUGAGCCCUGUGAGCCCCAGCCCCGCCCCCCACCUUGCGGGCCAGGGCGGGGGUGGCCGUGGUCCAGAGCCACGUGGGGGUGCUGACUGGGUCAGAAUCGGCCUGAGGCUGGGUGCACAGGGCGCUGCCAGCAGCCUGCGGGUGACCCAGGGCGAACCCCACACGGUCGAUCCGGGGCCUCCCAGGCCCACCAAGUCACAGGUUCUUUACGCCUGUCCUUGUCACUGCUCUGUCCUUCCUGCUGCCGUGGCAAGUCCUGGGAGGGCAUCCCUGCGGGAGCAUCCACAGCUGUCCUUACUGCUGCCCGGUGACUCGACCCCGGGGGUUGCACUCUGCAGCCGCUGGUGAGGACGUCAAACCCCAAACGGAAGCAUCCCUCCCGGAGCUGCUGGGCCCAAGGCAGGGGGCUCUGCCUCCCAGGGCUGAGAAGUCCUCUCCCCCGGGGCCCAGGCCACACCCACGCAACAGCACAGACUUUUCUCUGGGAAGAAGGGGAGCCCCCACAGCAGGGGCUGAUGUGUGAAACGAGAAGAGGCUGCGGGGAGGGUGAGGAAACCCAUGGUCCAGAAAUAAGCCAGGAAGGGCUUUAUGAGCCACUUCCGUGAGCAACGGCUUCAUUAUGGAUCUGUUGGGUCUCGUUUCCUGUGAUGGAAUAUGAAUGAUCUGCUGCGUGAUUAUGCAUCAUCCAGGCUGCAGCAGCCAGUGGAAAAAGGGCUUCACCGUUGCCUAUAAACCAUGAAUCAGAGGCCGCCCUUGCUAACGGCUUCCUCAGGGCUACGGGUUGCUCUAACAGUUCUACACCCUGUGUCAUCCGGCCUGGAGAAGCGGCUCCUGUUUUGGACACACUGGUUUUGGAGCAGAUGGAGAAAGAGUUCAAGGGCUGCGGAAGUCUGCAAGGCAUUUCUUUGAGGUUGUAUCUUCACUCCGUCCGCGGGCCCAGGCCAGGGACAGUGAAUGAGAGAACCACAGUCUGCACGAAGGUGUGCCGAUGUCCUCCCCAAACUCCUUUUGAUAGUCAUGUGGCAUAGCACGAAUCUACCUGCUGCAGAGGUUCCUGGGAGCCUUCCGUUGGACCCGUCCCUCCACUUCUGUUCUGAUCCUGCCCCUGAUUUCCAGGCUGGGUGUGCGAGCUGUUGUUGACAUCGCCGACCUGGAAACUGCCCUUUUCCUGCCUCUUCUGUUAGAUCCCGCUCCCGGAGCCAUAGUUUGCCUCUUCCUGGUUUUCUUUCUCGUUUUGCUGGAGCACAUCCUUUAGUAGACGCCUGAGAAAAGGUACUGGAGAAUAAUCUUAUGAAAUCCUGCCUAAUGUCUUGACUCUGCCCUUCCUUUUGAUUAAUAGUUGGGUGGGUGUGGCUUUCUGGGAUGGACAUGUUUAUUUUUUCCAGACUUUUGAAGGCAUCGCUCCAUUGCCUCCUGGUUUCCUGUGUUACUUUUGAAGAUGUCAGAUGAGUUUUCUGAUUCCUAAUCCUGUGUGAGAACCUUCAAUCUUUUUUUUUUCAUUUUGGCUUUUUCUUAGUUUUUAAGAUCUUCUCCUUGUCAGUGUUCUGUGACCUGUUGCAGGACACACCCUGGCAAGUCUCUGUCUUCAUUCAUUCUUUCAUUCAUUGUCUAAAAACCUCCUAUUCUGGGAUUUUUUCAUAUUAUUUAUUUGAUAAUUUCCCCUAUUGUUUUCUGUUCUUUCACAGAUUCUGGACCUUCUGGAUGGGCCUGUAAUUUUCUUGUCUUUCUUGUUUUAGUGUCUCUCUCUUUGACUUUUGUUGUGCUUGAGGAGGGAUUUCCUCUAGUUAAUUGUCCAAAAACUAAUAUGAAGUUUUGAGUUUUGCUCUGGUACCUUUUCAUAUUAUGAGAAUCAAGCUGAUGAACACAUCCAUCACCUCAUACAGCUGCCCUUUCCUGUGUGUGUGCUGAGGACGCUUAGAUAGUCUCUCUCAGCAAAUUCCAAGCGUCCAGUACAGUUUCACCCGCAUCACCACGCUGUACAUCAGCUCCUCAGAAUGGCUUCAACUCAUCGUUGAAUUUGUACCAACAUCUUCCCAUUUCUCCCAACACCCAGUCUCUGGAAACUACUGUUCUACUCUCUGUUUCUGUGAGUUCUACUUUUUUAGAAUGUACAUAUAAGUGCAAUUAGCUAUAGUAUUUUUAACUACUAAAAGCUUUCUUAUUUUUCUUUUUCUUUGUUUCUUUCUUUUU